rnacentral:rRNA from 1 species
UGAGUAACCUGCCCUGGACUUUGGGAUAACCCUCGGAAACGGGGGCUAAUACCGGAUAUGACGCACUCUCGCAUGGGAUGUGUGUGGAAAGUUUUUCGGUUUGGGAUGGGCUCGCGGACUAUCAGCUUGUUGGUGGGGUGAUGGCCUACCAAGGCGACGACGGUUAGCCGGCCUGAGAGGGCGACCGGCCACACUGGGACUGAGACACGGCCCAGACCCCUACGGGAGGCA